rnacentral:rRNA from 1 species
AGGACGAACGCUGGCGGCACGCUAACACACGCAAGUCGAACGGAGUAUCGAGAGCUUGCUUUGAUAACUAGUGGCGGACGGGUGAGUAACACGUGAGCAAUCUGCCCUUAAGAGGGGGAUAGCAGUUGGAAACGACUGAUAAUACCGCAUAAGAUAGUAGUACCGCAUGGUACAGCUAUAAAAGAUUUAUCGCUUAAGGAUGAGCUCGCGUCUGAUUAGCUAGUUGGUGAGGUAACGGCUCACCAAGGCAACGAUCAGUAGCCGGACUGAGAGGUUGGACGGCCACAUUGGGACUGAGACACGGCCCAGACUCCUACGGGAGGCAGCAGUGGGGAAUAUUGCACAAUGGAGGAAACUCUGAUGCCAGCGAUGCCGCGUGAGGGAAGAAGGUUUUAGGAUUGUAAACCUCUGUUGACAGGGACGAUAAUGACGGUACCUGUUGAGGAAGCUCCGGCUAACUACGUGCCAGCAGCAGC